rnacentral:rRNA from 1 species
CUAGGACGAACGCUGGCGGCGUGCCUAACACAUGCAAGUCGAGCGGAGAUGUAUAGCAAUAUAUAUCUUAGCGGCGGACGGGUGAGUAACGCGUGGGUAACCUGCCUUAUACAGGGGGAUAACACAGGGAAACUUGUGCUAAUACCGCAUAACACAGACGAUUGGCAUCAAUUGACUGUCAAAGGAGCAAUCCGGUAUAAGAUGGACCCGCGUCCAAUUAGCUAGUUGGUGAUGUAACGGACCACCAAGGCGACGAUUGGUAGCCGAACUGAGAGGUUGAUCGGCCACAUUGGGACUGAGACACGGCCCAGACUCCUACGGGAGGCAGCAGUGGGGAAUAUUGCGCAAUGGGGGAAAAACCCCUGACGCAGCAACGCCGCGUGAAGGAUGAAGGUUUUCGGAUCGUAAACUUCUUUGAUGAGGGAAGAAUAAUGACGGUACCUCAAAAACAAGCCACGGCUAACUACGUGCCAGCCGCCGC